rnacentral:rRNA from 1 species
UGGGGAAUAUUGCACAAUGGGCGCAAGCCUGAUGCAGCCAUGCCGCGUGUAUGAAGAAGGCCUUCGGGUUGUAAAGUACUUUCAGCGGGGAGGAAGGCGAUAAGGUUAAUAACCUUGUCGAUUGACGUUACCCGCAGAAGAAGCACCGGCUAACUCCGUGCCAGCAGCCGCGGUAAUACGGAGGGUGCAGCGUUAAAUCGGAAUUACUGGGCGUAAAGCGCACGCAGGCGGUCUGUCAAGUCGGAUGUGAAAUCCCCGGGCUCAACCUGGGAACUGCAUUCGAAACUGGCAGGCUGGAGUCUUGUAGAGGGGGUAGAAUUCCAGGUGUAGCGGUGAAAUUGCGUAGAGAUCUGGAGGAAUACCGGUGGCGAAGGCGGCCCCCUGGACAAAGACUGACGCUCAGGUGCGAAAGCGUGGGAGCAAACA